ensembl:lncRNA
GCCCGACAGGGCGAGGGCGCGGCCGUGUCCUCCGCAGGCUGGGAGGUCACCCCCACCCGGGCGCGGUGCCCCUCCCGACGGCUCUGGGGGAAGGCCCGGGGCCGCACCCUCCUCGGGCGCCUCGGUUCCCCGGGGCUGCGGUGGCCCCCUCGCCCCGCCCCGCCAGGAGAGGCCCGGGCAGCGCCGGGACCAGCGGGCGGCGUGUCCACGAAGGCCACCCUGACCCCAUCCCCGCCCCAAUCACUCGGUCCCUUCUGUGGGGCUGACCGAGAUGGGCAUCGUGGGCCAGGGGCUCCUGGGGACCCGCCUGUGGGUGCGGCUCCCACCUGCUGCUGCUGGGCCCACCUCCCGCCGCGCCCACCCUGGCAGGACAAGCAGGGGCUGGCUCCCCUGGGUGCCGGGAGCGGUAGAGCCCCAGGUCCCAGAGGAGGAGAAAAACAGGGCGCGGGUGCACCCAGCGGAAGAUAAGGACCCAGGGGAGGGACUACACACCCGGGACGCAGGACAGCAAUGCCCGGAGGGGGACAACGGUCGUGUCCGCUGCUCUGACCGGGCUGCCGCAUGGUUGCCGGACCUCGGCUGUUGGGAAAAAAUGCUUCCAGGAACUCUGGCCCAUGGACGCGUGGCCCCUGGAGUGUCACUGCUGGGCCACAGGUCAUGCUGCCUUCCCCUCUACCAGGGAGAAAAGAGAUGGACUUUAAAUCUCUAACGCCGUGUGUGCUGCUCCACCAACGUCCUGGCCGGACAGCUCCCUCCCCACAGCUCGCAGCCUCUGCCACCACCACCCGGGGCUGCAGGGGCCUUCGGCAGGUGUCGCCCACAGGCUGGCAAGCGUGCCGUGCCUGGUCCCAGGCGCCCCCACGGAUCAGAUGAGCCUUCUUCCGUCGCGUCCUUGUCACGUUGGCCGCGAGGGCUGCACGUUUUCUCGGUGUCAGCAUUUCCUGGUAAAGCAGCAAAUGUUUAAUCCUGUUGCUAAAGUCCACGUGAUCCAGUCCUUCGGGUUAACUGCCACGGCUGUUCCUGGAAGCUGUUUCCUGUGCCAGAGUGACUGGCAUUGACGCCGCGAUGCAAGGAAGUGACUGGGAACACCACAAAUACGCUCGCCGCUCGGCUAAACCGCACCUGAGGCUUCCAGCCCCUGGCCGCCCCGUGGUGGAUCCAUGAUCCCAGAAGGCUCGCCCCCUCCCCAGAGGCCCCGGCGGGCGGGGAAGCACGGGGAGCUGCGGUGGCGGGGACCCCUGCAGUCCUCCUGUCAUCCUUUAGCAAACUGUACGGAGCCAUCUGCCCUGACGGCACCACCAAGGCCCUGCGGGAACCCGCCAGCCUGCGAGCUGCUGUGCCCCUGUCCACCUCCUCCGUCCUGACCCCAGCCGGCAGGUGCUCCGGGCGGGCGGGCCGCGCUCCUUCACGCGCCUGCUGGCUUCUGUCCUCCAGAGUGUGAGCCCGCCUUCCCGAGCUCGUGGCCCCUUCCCCCAUCAUUGAACUGCAGCAUCUUUACCUUAAAAUGUGUACCCAGGAUUUUUGUUAAAGAUCGUAUUUAUUUAUUUGAGAAAGAGAGAGAGCGAGCGGGGGGGCGGGGGGGGCAGAGGGAGAGGGAGAAGCAGACGCCCCACGGAGCAGGGAGCCCCACAGAUGUGGGCCUGGAUCCCAGGACCCGGGGGUCCCACCCUGAGCCGACGCUUGCCCGCUUGCCCCACUGGGCCCCCCGC